rnacentral:rRNA from 1 species
AUUGAACGCUGGCGGCAUGCCUAACACAUGCAAGUCGAACGGCAGCACGGGAGCUUGCUCCUGGUGGCGAGUGGCGGACGGGUGAGUAAUGCAUAGGAAUCUGCCCAGUAGCGGGGGACAACUUGGGGAAACUCAAGCUAAUACCGCAUACGCCCUACGGGGAAAGCGGGGACCGUUCGGACCUCGCACUAUUGGAUGAGCCUAUGUCAGAUUAGCUUGUUGGUGGGGUAAAGGCCUACCAAGGCGACGAUCUGUAGCUGGUCUGAGAGGACGAUCAGCCACACUGGGACUGAGACACGGCCCAGACUCCUACGGGAGGCAGCAGUGGGGAAUAUUGCACAAUGGGCGAAAGCCUGAUGCAGCAAUGCCGCGUGUGUGAAGAAGGCCUGCGGGUUGUAAAGCACUUUCAGUAGGGAGGAAACAGUAGCCGGUUAAUAUCCGGUUGCCUUGACGUUACCUACAGAAGAAGCACCGGCUAACU